UUGCAAAAACUAAUUUGACAACAAUAACAUGACUUUUUUACGUUUCUCUGUCCAGCAUGUUUAAAUGUUACAAAGGUCACUUGAUUGUGGCCGAUGUGAGACCUGCAUGUUUUAAUCAGGUUGAGGAAACAUGACUUUAUUAUUUCAUCUCUGGUGAGGCUCGUCCCUCUGGAAUUCUCCUCCCAAAAACCUUUGGAGGGAAAAUUCAAAUAUAACAGGACACAGGAGAGUUCCAGGAGCAGAGACACACAGUGUGGAGCAGGAGGAUUAUCAGAGCUGAUCUGGAGAGUCGUCUACAAACACAGAGUGACGUCCAGGUUCUGCUGGAGCUGAGGGGAAGUUCAUGAAUGUUACAGCUGAUGUUUCAGGAAAAAAGGAAGAUGUUUGAAAACCAACAAAACACAGACCACAGAUGAACAAAGGUGAUGUGGCACUAGGAGACUUUAUACCAGAUGCCCUCCCUGUUACUGCGUUUAGAGGAAGAAAAGCAG